GCUUCCACAGCACAUACUAAAAUUGAGAUGAUAAACAUAAGAUUAGCAUGGCCCCUACGUAACGAUGACACAUGAAUUUGUGAUAGAUUCCAUAUUUUU
ensembl:snRNA U6 U6 spliceosomal RNA